AUGUCCUGUGUGUGUGUGUAUGUCCUGUGUAUUUGUCCUGUGUGUGUGUGUAUUUGUCCUGUGUGUGUGUGUCCUGUGUGUGUGUGUGUGUCCUGUGUGUGUGUGUGUGUCCUGUGUGUGUGUCCUGUGUGUGUGUGUGUGUGUGUCCUGUGUGUGUGUGUGUGUGUGUGUGUGUGUGUCCUGUGUUUGUGUGUGUGUAUGUCCUGUGUGUGUGUGUGUGUGUGUUUUCUGUGUGUGUGUGUUUUCUGUGUGUGUGUGUGUGUGUGUAUGUCCUGUGUGUGUGUCCUGUGUGUGUGUGUGUGUCCUGUGAAUGUGUGUGUGUGUGUGUGUCCUGUGGUGGUGUGGUGUGUGUGUCCUAUGUGUGUGUGUGUGUGUCCUGUGUGUGUGUGUGUGUGUGUCCUCUGUGUGAUGUGGUGUCCUGUGUGUGUGUGUGUCCUGUGUGUGUGUGUGUGUGUGUGUGUCCUGUGUGUGUGUGUGUGUCCCCUGUGUGUGUGUGUCCUGUGUGUGUGUGUCGUGUGUGUGUAUGUAUGUCCUGUGUGUGUGUGUGUGUGUGUGGUGUGUGUAUGUCCUGUGUGUGUGUGUGUGUAUGUCCUGUGUGGUGUGUGUGUGUGUGUGUGUGUGUGUGUAUGUCCUGUGUGGUGUGUGUGUGUGUGUGUAUGUCCUGUGAGUGUGUGUGUCCUGUGUGUGUGUGUGUCCUGUGUGUGUGUGUGGUGUGUCCUGUGUGUGUGUGUGUGUGUGUGUCGUGUGUGUGUGUGUGUUGUGUGUGUGGUCCUGGUGUUGUGUGUGUGUGUUGUCGUGUGUGUGUGUGUGUGUGUGUGUGUGUCCUGUGUGUGUGUGUGGUGUCCUGUGUGGGUGUGUGUGUGGGUCCUGUGUGUGUGUGUGUCCUGUGUGUGUCCUGUGUGUGUGGUGUGGUGUGUGUCCUGUGUGUGUGUGUGUGUGUGUGUCCUGUGUGUGUGUGUGUCCUGUUUGUUUGUGUGUCCUGUGUGUUUGUGGUGUCCUGUGUGUGUUGUGUGUGUGUCCUGUGGGUGUGUGUGUGUGUCCCUGUGUGUGUGUGUGUGUCCGUGUGUGUUGUGUCCUGUGUGUGUGUGUGUGUGUAGGUCCAGUGUGUGUGGUGUGUGUGUGUCCUGUGUGUGUGUGUGUGUGUGUCCUGUGUGUGUAUGUCCCUGUGUGUGUGUGUGUGUCCUGUGUGUCCUGUGUGUGUGUCCUGUGUGUUGUGUGUGUGUGUGUGUCCUGUGUGUGUGUCCUGUGUGUGUGUGUCCUGUGUGUGUGUGUCGUGUGUGUGUAUGUAUGUCCUGUGUGUGUGGUGUGUGUGUGUGGUGUGUGUGUAUGUCCUGUGUGUGGUGUGUGUGUAUGUCCUGUGUGUGUGUGUGUGUUGUGUGUGUGUAUGUCCUGUGUGUGUGGUGUGUGUGUGUGUGUAUGUCCUGUGAGUGUGUUGUCCUGUGUGUGUGUGUGUCCUGUGUGUGUGUGUGUGUGUCCUGUGUGUGUUGGUGUGUGUGUGGUCGUGUGUGUGUGUCCUGUGUGUGUGUGUGUCCUGUGUGUGUGUGUGUGUGUCGUGUGUGUGUGUGUGUGUGUGUGUGUGUCCUGUGUUGUGUGUGUGUGUGUCCUGUGUGUGUUGUGUGUGUGUCCUGUGUGUGUGUGUGUCCUGUGUGUGUCCUGUGUGUGUGUGUGUGUGUGUCCUGUGUGUGUGUGUGUGUGUGUGUCCUGUGUGUGUGUGUGUCCUGUGUGUUUGUGUGUCCUGUGUGUUUGUGUGUCCUGUGUGGUGGUGUGUGUGUGUGUCCUGUGUGUGUGUGUGUGUCCUGUGUGUGUGUGUGUCCUGUGUGUGUGUGUCCUGUGUGUGUGUGUGUGUGUAUGUCCAGUGUGUGUGUGUGUGUGUCCUGUGUGUGUGUGUGUGUGUCCUGUGUGUAUGUCCUGUGUGUGUGUGUGUCCUGUGUGUCCUGUGUGUGUGUCCUGUGUGUGUGUGUGUGUCCUGUGUGUGUGUGUCCUGUGUGUGUGUGUGUCCUGUGUGUGUGUGUAUGUCCUGUGUAUGUGUUGUGUAUGUCCUGUGUGUGUGUGUGUGUAUGUCCUGUGUGUGUGUGUGUGUAUGUCCUGUGUGUGUGUGUGUGUAUGUCCUGUGUGUGUGUGUGUGUAUGUCCUGUGUGUGUGUGUGUGUGUGUGUGUGUGUGUGUGUGUGUGUGUGUGUGUAUGUCGUGUGUGUGUAUGUCCUGUGUGUAUGUCCUGUGUGUGUGUGUGUGUCCUGUGUGUGUGUGUGUGUGUGUCCUGUGUGUGUGUGUCCUGUGUGUGUGUGUCCUGUGUGUGUGUGUGUCCUGUUGUGUGUGUGUGUCCUGUGUGUGUGUGGUGUCCUGUGUGUGUGUGUCCUGUGUGUGUGUGUGUGUGUUUGUGUGUCCUGUGUGUGUGUGUGUGUGUGUGUGUGUGUCCAGUGUGUGUGUGUGUCCUGUGUGUGUGUAUGUCCUGUGUGUGUGUAUGUCCUGUGUGUGUGUGUGUGUGUGUAUGUCCUGUGUGUGUGGUGUGUGUGUGUAUGUCCUGUGUGUGUAUGUGUGGUGUGUGUGUUGUGUAUGUCCUGUGUGUGUGUUUAUGUCCUGUGUGUGUGUGUGUAUGUCCUGUGUUUGUGGUGUGUUUGGUGUGUGUGUGUGUGUGUGUGUGUGUGUGGUGUGUGUAUGUCGUGUGUGGUAUGUCCUGUGUGUAUGUCCUGUGUGUGGUGUGUCCUGUGUGUGUGUGUGUGUGUGUGUCCUGUGUGGUGUGUGUCCUGGUGUGUGUGUCCUGUGUGUGUAG
rnacentral:lncRNA from 1 species